rnacentral:lncRNA from 1 species
AUUAGAGGAAUUGUUGUACACUAUCAUUAAAGCAGAGGAAGCCCUUACUCAAACUAGAAGGAGAAGAAGUUGAGUCACAUGUUGAUGCUGGCAUGUACUGGUGAGGCUUUGAUUUGAAGUGAUGCUUUGGCAAGUACCUUAUCAUAUUUUUGGGUUUUUGUCUUAUAGAAUUGCACAAGAAAAAGGUCCACCAAACUCAUUUGCUUGUGGCAGUUUGUGUUAAACAACAAAGCAUACAGAUUUAGGAGAAAUUUUUCAGUGUACCUUGAAAACGGGAUGGUACACCACAAGUCAUUAUACAAGUUGAGAGACACAUGAAAAAUAAAAUUCUCUCCACUUAUAUAUUAACAUGUGGUGUAACACUCCAUGUUCAGAUUACACUGAAAAAUUUCUCCACAUUUAUAGAGUCGUAAUAAAUAUGAACAAAUUGAAAACUAGAGUUUUUUUUAGUGUUUUUAAUGCUAGUAGUCAAAUGGUUGUUUUAUUCACAUCCCACGUUUUAUUGACUACACCUCAUAUACUUAAUACAUCUCAUAUUUACUUUUUAACUAAAAUUUAUCUUAAUACACCCCACAUACUUUCCAAUACUAUCCUUACACCCCACACUUUCUACAUAUACCCCAUACUCUCCACUUAAAAUUCAAAUCAAAUAAUGUGUUCGUCUCACAAGUUCAUCUUCUCCACCAUUUUCAAAAACGAGUAUUGUCAAAUGAUCAUGGGUAGAAAUUUCUAUGAGGUGUAAACAGAAAGUGCUUCAUCUUCAAAUCAAUGGUUUAGGGUUUAGGGUUUAUGAAGAAAAAGUUUGACCAAACUCCAUUAGUAUCAUCUUGCUUCUUUCUUUGUGCAUCUUUGAGGACUCCACUUUUUCCUCUAAUCUGGAAUUGUUGGACUUGAGAUAUGUAGAGUUAAGGGGUUUCUCAAAUGGUUUAUUAUCUAUUAAUAAACUCGAAUCAAGUACGAAACGAAAAUUUUCUCAUAUAUUGUAACAUCCCACAUUGCCCAGGGGAGUGGAUCAUGUAAGCUUUAUAUGUAUAUUCUCAUCUUUACCUAGCACGAGG